AUUAGCUAUGUGUAUUUCGAUAAUUAUCUCUCAGGUACAGAGGAUCAUGGAAUAGGUUAUGGAAUAGCCAUGAUAUUUUUACCAUUGGGAUUAUUCGUGUUUGUGUAUUGGGAAAAGGGCAUCUGUGGCGGUGAUAUUCUGGCAGACCACCACAUUGUACAUUUUGUGUAGAUUUUUUGUACCUGAGAGAUAAUUGAAUUUAGGUUUUUCUCACGCAAUUAUCUCUAAGGCACAAAUGAUCCUGG